UGUUCUGUGGCUUAGUUGGUUAAAGCACUAGUCUAGCGAAUAUGGGGUCAUGGGUUCGAAUCCUACCAGAACGC
rfam:Aedes albopictus isolate Foshan contig44629, whole genome shotgun sequence.